rnacentral:rRNA from 1 species
GCGACUGAAAUGUCAAGAGCUCAGCAUGUGAAUCAGCGCUCGCCUCUUUGUGAGCGCUGAAUUGUGGUCUUACGACUUUUGCGUUCAGUACGGGUCCGACCAUGUUUUUUGGAAUAAAAUAGCACAGAGGGUGAAACUCCCGUGCGUCGGACCUAGCGAAGCAAAUUGUCACUGAGUCGAGUUGUUUGGGAUUGCAGCUCUAAUUGUACGGUGGUAAAUUCCAUCUCAAGCUAAAUACUGGCAGGAAACCGAUAGCGAAAAAGUACCGUGAGGGAAAGAUGCAAAGAACUUUGAAAAGAGAGUGAAAGAGUACCUGAAAUUGCUGAAAAGGAAGCGAACGAAGCUAGUGAACGCUGCGUCAUACUUUCCAACUUGCUUGCAAUUUGGACGCUGUGGCCAGCCCAGUUGGGCUUGACUGYGACUGGUGAAAACUGGCAACGAAAAGACUCCAUUUUCAASCG